GCCUCGGUAGCUCAGUCGGUAGAGCGUUGCCUUGGUAAGGCAAAGGUCGCGAGUUCGAUUCUCGCCCGGGGCU
rnacentral:tRNA from 1 species